rnacentral:rRNA from 1 species
GACGAACGCUGGCGGCGUGCCUAAUACAUGCAAGUAGAACGCUGAAGAGAGGAGCUUGCUCUUCCUGGAUGAGUUGCGAACGGGUGAGUAACGCGUAGGUGACCUGCCUUGUAGCGGGGGAUAACUAUUGGAAACGAUAGCUAAUACCGCAUAACAAUGGAUGACACAUGUCAUUUAUUUGAAAGGGGCAAUUGCUCCACUACAAGAUGGACCUGCGUUGUAUUAGCUAGUAGGUGAGGUAAUGGCUCACCUAGGCGACGAUACAUAGCCGACCUGAGAGGGUGAUCGGCCACACUGGGACUGAGACACGGCCCAGACUCCUACGGGAAGCAGCAGGAGGGAAUCUUCGGCAAUGGGGGCAACGCUGACCGAGCAACGCCGCGUGAGUGGAGAAGGUUUUCGGAUCGUAAAGCUCUGUUGUAAGUCAAGAACGGGUGUGAGAGUGGAAAGUUCACACUGUGACGGUAGCUUAACAGAAAGGGACGGCUAACUACGUG